UUUAACGGCCGCGGUAUCAUAACCGUGCGAAGGUAGCAUAAUAAAUUGUUCUCUAAAUAGGGACUAGUAUGAAAGGCACCACGAGGGCUUAACUGUCUCCCUUUUCCAAUUAAUGAAACUGAUCUUCUCGUGAAGAAGCGAGAAUUAAAAUAUAAGACGAGAAGACCCCAUGGAGCUUUAAACUUCUCAUCAUUUACUUUUAAAUAUACCACCACAUACAGUAAAAUUGUUACCUGAGAGUUUUCGGCUGGGGUGACCCUGGAGCAAAACAAAUCCUCCAGGAUGAAUGGAGUAAAAUUCUAAUCUAAGAGCUACAGCUCUAAGAAUCAAAAUAUUGACAUAUUUGAUCCAAUUACUUGAUCAACGAACCAAGUUACCCUGGGGAUAACAGCGCAAUCCAUUUCAAGAGCCCCUAUCGACAAAUGGGUUUACGACCUCGAUGUUGGAUCGGGGUAUCCCAGUGGCGCAGCCGCUACUAAAGGUUCGUUUGUUCAACGAUUAAUAACCCCACGUGAUCU
rnacentral:rRNA from 1 species